GCCGGGAAGAACAGGAUGAUUAUAAAUAGUAGACACAAGAUGCGUAGAAAGAAAUAACACUGUGAGCUUACUUGUUGAAAGGAUAAAGUGUGUACUAAAGAUUGCUGUUUUAAUAGAUUCUCUCAACACAAUAAAAAUGUUCCUUAACGUUUUACUGACAAUCAUGUUAAUGACGGCCAUAUCAUUCGGAAUAUGUGCUAGGACCACAACUGUACGUUACGAUCGUACUAGCACAGAAAAAUAUGUCCCCACUCGUUAUCCUACAGGCUCACGUACUACUAUCAUAGACAGUCCUAGGAGAUCAUCUUGUCCACGAGGGCAAAGGAAAGAUCCUCGUGGGGUGUGUCGGAGGCCAUUAUAAUAGAGAAAGACUCAGAUUUAAAAAUAUCCAUGACUCAUAAUUCAAACCGCUGAAUGAUAAUGUAACGUAUGCAAUAAACUAAUUUAAUAGAGUAGAUACAAACUAACACAAAAAUUAUUAAACAAUUAUAAAAUUACUUAAAAAGUUAUCAA